AGAGUUUGAUCCUGGCUCAGGACGAACGCUGGCGGCACGCUUAACACAUGCAAGUCGAACGAGAGAAGAGGAGCUUGCUUUUCUGAUCUAGUGGCGGACGGGUGAGUAACACGUGAGCAAUCUGCCUUUCAGAGGGGGAUACCGAUUGGAAACGAUCGUUAAUACCGCAUAACAUAAUUGAACCGCAUGAUUUGAUUAUCAAAGAUUUAUCGCUGAAAGAUGAGCUCGCGUCUGAUUAGCUAGUUGGUAAGGUAACGGCUUACCAAGGCGACGAUCAGUAGCCGGACUGAGAGGUUGAUCGGCCACAUUGGGACUGAGACACGGCCCAGACUCCUACGGGAGGCAGCAGUGGGGAAUAUUGCACAAUGGAGGAAACUCUGAUGCAGCGAUGCCGCGUGAGGGAAGAAGGUUUUAGGAUUGUAAACCUCUGUCUUCAGGGACGAAAAAAGACGGUACCUGAGGAGGAAGCUCCGGCUAACUACGUGCCAGCAGCCGCGGUAAUACGUAGGGAGCGAGCGUUGUCCGGAAUUACUGGGUGUAAAGGGAGCGUAGGCGGGAUCGCAAGUCAGAUGUGAAAACUAUGGGCUUAACCCAUAAACUGCAUUUGAAACUGUGGUUCUUGAGUGAAGUAGAGGUAAGCGGAAUUCCUAGUGUAGCGGUGAAAUGCGUAGAUAUUAGGAGGAACAUCAGUGGCGAAGGCGGCUUACUGGGCUUUAACUGACGCUGAGGCUCGAAAGCGUGGGGAGCAAACAGGAUUAGAUACCCAGGUAGUCCACGCCGUAAACGAUGAUUACUAGGUGUGGGGGGACUGACCCCUUCCGUGCCGCAGCAAACGCAAUAAGUAAUCCACCUGGGGAGUACGACCGCAAGGUUGAAACUCAAAGGAAUUGACGGGGGCCCGCACAAGCAGUGGAGUAUGUGGAUUAAUUCGAAGCAACGCGAAGAACCUUACCAGGUCUUGACAUCGUAUGCAUAGCUCAGAGAUGAGUGAAAUCUCUUCGGAGACAUAUAGACAGGUGGUGCAUGGUUGUCGUCAGCUCGUGUCGUGAGAUGUUGGGUUAAGUCCCGCAACGAGCGCAACCCUUACUGUUAGUUGCUACGCAAGAGCACUCUAGCAGGACUGCCGUUGACAAAACGGGGGAGGUGGGGAUGACGUCAAAUCAUCAUGCCCCUUAUGACCUGGGCCUCACACGUACUACAAUGGCUGUCAACAGAGGGAAGCAAAGCCGCGAGGUGGAGCGAACCCCUAAAAGCAGUCUUAGUUCGGAUUGUAGGCUGCAACCCGCCUACAUGAAGUCGGAAUUGCUAGUAAUCGCAGAUCAGCAUGCUGCGGUGAAUACGUUCCCGGGCCUUGUACACACCGCCCGUCACGCCAUGGGAGUCGGUAACACCCGAAGCCUGUAGUCUAACCGCAAGGAGGACGCAGUCGAAGGUGGGAUUGAUGACUGGGGUGAAGUCGUAACAAGGUA
rnacentral:rRNA from 1 species